UGAAGGUUAAAAGGUAACAUUCGCCUACAGGUUGAGAUUUGCAGGCAGAAUUUCCAGAAUGCUGAAUUUCAGCAGGGAUCACUGCAAAGAAGUUGGAACUCCUCUCACCCAAACUUUUCAGGUUCUCUUACAAGACCACCAACAUUCUUCAAACGUUAGUGAAAUAAAACAGGAGGAGGGUUUGGAGCUCUGGAUUCUCAGCCUAGAAAUGUCACAGUUUAAUCCCAGAGGUUUGCUGCAAAGUUGUAAGCAUGACAGUGUGAAACUCUACAGAUUAUUCUUGAAUUCUUUGUUUGUUUUCACUGUGACCCGACUCUCAUAAAAUUUAUUUUAUUUUUUCUUCCAAACUCCCAUGGUGUGUGGUCAUAUGAUUUAAAUGGAGAAAAACAUUGUCAAAACAGCAUCAAAGGAGUUGUCAUUUUUACAUUGUUUUCAUUAAAUAAAAAGGCAUAAUAUCCAGAUGUAGUACUAUAAUUUUUAUCUGAAUCUUGAAAUAUGGAAUCUAAUACUAUAGUUAUUAGUAUUUGUGUUAUUUCAUAUUUUGGUAUUAUUAUAGUUUAAUCUGCAUCUUAAAGUCAAUAAAUAUGAAAACA